rnacentral:rRNA from 1 species
UACAGAGGUCCCAAGCGUUGUUCGGAUUCACUGGGCGUAAAGGGUGCGCAGGUGGGUUUGCAAGUUUGAUGUGAAAGCCCCGGGCUUAACCCGGGAAUGGCAUUGAAUACUGCAGAUCUGGAGGAUUGGAGGGGGGACUGGAAUUCUUGGUGUAGCAGUGAAAUGCGUAGAUAUCAAGAGGAACACCAGUGGCGAAGGCGAGUCCCUGGACAAUACCUGACACUGAGGCACGAAAGCGUGGGGAGCAAACAGG